GAUAAACGCUGGCGGCGUGCCUAAAACAUGCAAGUCGAACGGGCACCUUCGGGUGCCAGUGGCGGACGGCUGAGUAACACGUGGGUGACCUGCCCUCGAACGGGGGAGUAACUGCCCGAAAGGGUGGCUAAUACCGCAAAUGUCGCGGCUUCGUUGUUGCGACUGAACCGUUUAGGGUUCGAGGAGGGGCCCGCGGCCGAUUAGCUUGCUGGUGGGGUAAUGGCCUACCAGGGCUGCGAUCGGUAGCNGGUCUGAGAGGAUGAUCAGCCAGACUGGGACUGCGAGACGGCCCAGACUCCUACGGGAGGC
rnacentral:rRNA from 1 species